AUUGAACGCUGGCGGCAUGCCUUACACAUGCAAGUCGAACGGCAGCAUGGAGAGCUUGCUCUCUGAUGGCGAGUGGCGAACGGGUGAGUAAUGCAUCGGAACGUACCGUGUAAUGGGGGAUAACGUAGCGAAAGUUACGCUAAUACCGCAUACGACCUGAGGGUGAAAGCAGGGGAUCGCAAGACCUUGCGUGAUACGAGCGGCCGAUGUCAGAUUAGCUGGUUGGGGAGGUAAAGGCUCACCAAGGCGACGAUCUGUAGCGGGUCUGAGAGGAUGAUCCGCCACACUGGGACUGAGACACGGCCCAGACUCCUACGGGAGGCAGCAGUGGGGAAUUUUGGAUAAUGGGGGCAACCCUGAUCCAGCCAUGCCGCGUGAGUGAAGAAGGCCUUCGGGUUGUAAAGCUCUUUCGGCCGGGAAGAAAUCGCACAGGCUAAUACUCUGUGUGGAUGACGGUACCGGCAUAAGAAGCACCGGCUAACUACGUGCCAGCAGCCGCCGUAA
rnacentral:rRNA from 1 species